CUACGUCACGUCGGGAGAGAUCGGCUUAAGCGCCGGCGCCGAAGGAGCAACCGCCCCGGAAACUCUCAGGCAAACGAACCGCGUGACUGAC
rfam:Afipia sp. GAS231 genome assembly, chromosome: I